rnacentral:rRNA from 1 species
UGCGUAGGCGGUUCCAUAAGUCAGUGGUGAAAUACAAUAGCUUAACUAUUGAGGUGCCAUUGAUACUGCGGAACUUGAGUACAGACGAGGUAGGCGGAAUUGACGGUGUAGCGGUGAAAUGCUUAGAUAUCGUCAAGAACACCGAUAGCGAAGGCAGCUUACUAGACUGUAACUGACGCUGAGGCACGAAAGUGUGGGGAUCAAACAGGAUUAGAUACCCUGGUAGUCCACACUGUAAACGAUGAUUACUCGAUGUUGGCGAUACACAGCCAGCGUCUUAGCAAAAGCGAUAAGUAAUCCACCUGGGGAGUACGCCGGCAACGGUGAA